AGAGUUGUAUCCUGGCUCAGAACGAACGCUGGCGGCAGGCCUAACACAUGCAAGUCGAGCGCGCCUUCGGGUGAGCGGCGGACGGGUUAGUAACGCGUGGGAACGUGCCCUUCUCUACGGAAUAGCCUCUGGAAACGGAGAGUAAUACCGUAUACGCCCUUUGGGGGAAAGAUUUAUCGGAGAAGGAUCGGCCCGCGUUAGAUUAGGUAGUUGGUGGGGUAACGGCCUACCAAGCCUACGAUCUAUAGCUGGUUUUAGAGGAUGAUCAGCAACACUGGGACUGAGACACGGCCCAGACUCCUACGGGAGGCAGCAGUGGGGAAUCUUAGACAAUGGGGGCAACCCUGAUCUAGCCAUGCCGCGUGAGUGAUGAAGGCCUUAGGGUCGUAAAGCUCUUUCGCCUGUGAUGAUAAUGACAGUAGCAGGUAAAGAAACCCCGGCUAACUCCGUGCCAGCAGCCGCGGUAAUACGGAGGGGGUUAGCGUUGUUCGGAAUUACUGGGCGUAAAGCGCGCGUAGGCGGAUUAGAAAGUUGGGGGUGAAAUCCCGGGGCUCAACCCCGGAACUGCCUCCAAAACUGCUAGUCUAGAGUUCGAGAGAGGUGAGUGGAAUUCCGAGUGUAGAGG
rnacentral:rRNA from 1 species